ensembl:processed_transcript uncharacterized LOC110295139
ACUUCCGGUGGCGUCUCGGCCCAGCUCCCUUGAGAGGCAGGUUCUGGCUCUCGGUGCGGUAGCGCCAUCUGGCGCCGAGUGUUCCCUGGCCUGCGGAGGGGCGCGCUUCCUCCCUUCAGAACAUUCCAGAGACACGGCGGCGGCCGGGGCUCUGUCUCCCUUUUUCUGCAUCCUGCUUGUGCAUCAGAUGUGAGCUCUCAUCUACUGCUCUGGUGUCACACCUGCCUGCCUGCCACCAUGCUGCCUGCCAUGAUGAUCAUGGACUCACCCUCUGAAACUGACUUGUUUUCAAGCAUUGUGACCCAAGUGAAGAUUAUGUCUUCUCUCGUUAGCUGCUUUGGAAACCAGUAAUGGAGGACUGGCUGCUGGCUGUGCACUCCAAUGCUCCUCAUUCCGCUGUGCUAGACUCAGCUGAAAUCCUUGCCUCCCCUCAAAGGAGCCAAAUGCAGCAUGAACAGUGACAUUUCUGCUAGCCAGGAAAACAUAAAGAAAUCCCAGUAAAGCAAGAAGGUAGACAAAAUUCUUUCCAGCAUUUGAACAAAAAGGGUAUUUUUUUGUUGUUGUUCAUCUAAGUUUUAUAGAAGUCGAUUAUCCAACUCUCUGCUGGACUUUCAAACCUCCUUUUCUCUGUCCUACAUAAUUUAAACACACUAUAAAUAUCCUUAGCUACUCUGAGGGCGGGCCCAUAUUUGCAAGGCAACCACAGUUUGAGAAUAUUGUUGAAUUUGAAAGGCGGCACUUCCUUGUCUGGCACAUAAACUCCAAUGAAGGUUAUGAUGAGUGUGCUGGUGGGGGCCAUGUUUGACAGCCAGACAAGCAGCUCAUUUAUUCCAAAAGACUUUGAAUCCAUGCCCAGAGUCAAAUGUAGACUUUUUUUUUUUUUUUAAAAAAAAACUCAGGAGGCUUGAAAUAAGAAAGUUAUCUGACUCACAGUGCCCUUCUUGUUAGGGAGUAGGAAGGCUUCAGAGUGGAGAGAGGGCUAAAGUGUUUGAACCUGUCCAAUGGCUUCUUUAUGGGGUUCAGCCAUGAUAUUUCCUAGCUUGUCUUGUGUGAAAGUCUAUAUUGCUUGUUGAAGGUUGAAAAUCCCCAAUCCUGGGAAGAAAAUACAGAAUGAAAAUAUAAAAUGGGAUAUAGGAAGCCUGUGGGAUAGGACUUUAAAAACCCCUGUGCAUCAGUAAAUGAGCUAACAAGAGAGUUUUGUGGCCACCAAGGACCCCCUCCAUGGUUUCCACUCCAGGUCCCUGCUUCCCUCAAUGAUAGACCAUAACCUGUAAGUUGAAGCAAAACCUGUCUUCCCAAGUCACUGUUUGGUCAUGAUGUUUAUCACAGGAACAGACAGCAAACUGUUAAAAGUGCAUGCUAUAUAUUAUAAGCCUAGUCAAAAGCUGGAGACUGGGGAGAUCACAGACCUUAGAAGCCAUUCACUAUUACUGUUUUGCUAAGUAGACACUUGAUCCCAUUGCCUCCUAAACACUCAUGUUCAUAUGCAUUGAUUACUGAUCCUCUCACCCUGCAUCAGGGUGGCUUAUGGCAAAUAGGAGGUAGUUAAUGCAGAGGCUCACACCUGGUCAAAGUGUCCAGAAGUGUUACAGAAGAACAGGUCAAUAAGAACCUAAGAGCCAGAGGCUAGAGAUGCCUGCAUUUGAAAAGAUGACUUCUGGACAAGACCUGGCUGUUAUAGUCAUAAACUCGUUAUGGAAGGUGGAGGAGUGCUCCUGAGACACUACUGACAGUAAAUCCCUCCCCGAGGGGCUACCAAAAGUUAAUAGUUGCUGUAGGUAAUGCUUUGUGCUUCUGGGUGAUGUAGCCACCAAUGCAUUGCCCUUGUUCCAGUAACUAUCCUGCCAGCCAUACUUAGGUAAAUUCAAUGGCUCACACACAAAAAGAAGAAUUCAAAUUGGAGGGUACUUGCUGAGGAGUUCAAGCAGGAAGAAGAAAGGGGGUAUGAGGAUAGCAGGGAGUGAAUGGAUUAAAAUUGGUUAUAUAUGUAUAUGAAUGCCAAAGAAUAAAAAAUAAUUAAAAAAAAAAUUC